GGUUGAUCCUGCCAGUAUUAUAUGCUGAUGUUAAAGAUUAAGCCAUGCAUGUGUAAGUUUAAAGACCAAGUAGGAUGAAACUGCGGACGGCUCAUUAUAACAGUAAUAGUUUCUUUGGUUAGUAUUUACAGGGAUAACUUUGUGAAUGAUAAAGCUAAUACUUGAGACGAUCUGGGAAGUAUUUUACUUUUCGGCCCCCGGCCGCGAGGUUGGGGUGGAACGACAUUCUCUUCUGAAAAAGGAUGCCGCGACAAUUGAGGAAAGCGACGCUUUUUACAAGUAACCAAUGGGAA
rnacentral:rRNA from 1 species